UUGAGUAAUUAUAUCCCAAGCAGAAUACAUCGAACUGAACUAAUAAUUCUGUCGAGAGCCUAGGGCUUUUGGAUGAUUUUUUCCUAAAUUGAUCCUUGGUUAUUCGAAAAUCGGCAAUGGGAGCAAGCAGGAAAUUACAGGGCGAGAUCGAUCGGGUUCUGAAGAAGGUUCAAGAAGGUGUCGACGUGUUCGACAGCAUUUGGAACAAGGUUUAUGAUACAGACAAUGCGAAUCAGAAGGAAAAAUUCGAGGCCGACUUGAAAAAGGAGAUUAAAAAGUUGCAGAGGUAUAGAGACCAGAUCAAGACAUGGAUUCAGUCCAGCGAGAUCAAGGAUAAGAAGGUUAGUGCCUCUUAUGAGCAGGCUCUGAUGGAUGCUCGAAAGCAAAUUGAGCGUGAAAUGGAACGAUUUAAGAUAUGUGAAAAAGAAACAAAAACAAAAGCAUUCUCAAAAGAAGGUCUUGGCCUACAACCUAAGACGGAUCCAAAGGAAAAAGCUAAAUCUGAGACGAGAGAUUGGUUGAAUAACGUGGUCAGUGAGCUGGAAAAUCAAAUUGAUAGUUUUGAAGCUGAAAUAGAAGGACUUACAGUUAAGAAAGGGAAGACAAGGCCAGUGAGACUGACACAUCUGGAGGAAUCCAUCACUCGGCAUAAGGCUCAUAUUAUGAAGCUGGAAUUAAUUCUAAGGCUCUUGGAUAAUGAUGAAUUGAGUCCGGAGGAAGUCAACGACGUGAAGGAUUUCUUGGAUGACUAUGUUGAAAGAAAUCAGGAAGACUUUGACGAGUUUAGCGAUGUUGAUGAGCUUUACAGUUCCUUACCUCUAGACAAGGUGGAGUCUCUUGAAGAUCUAGUUACAGGUCCUCCUAGUCUUGUUAAGGGAGUUACUGCUUCCAGUGCAGUCAUAACAUUGAAAACUUCUCUGGCUGCAACACCUGUUCAAACUUCAGCAACAACCCCAGCUACCAUCCAACAGGUUACUUCCACCCUCGACCUGCUUGAUGAAACAGUUUUUCAGGAUGAUGCAGUUGCUAGAACCCCACCUUCUAAAGGUAGUGGCCUCAACUCUCCUGCACCACAAACACCACCAGCAGGUCUUGCAACUUCUGGCAUCACAAGUGUUGUCGGUGUGUCAUCUCCUGUGGCCGUGCCAAGUGCUACAAAAGAAGAGGAUAUUACGAAUUUCCCUGGCCGUAGAUCAUCUCCAGCACUUGCUGAAACUGGAUUAAGGGCUCUUGGCAGAGGUGGGUUGCCUGGUCAACCAGCUUCUAACAUCCUUCCUAGUUCUGGCAACACGAUUUCCAGCAAUGGAGCCCUUGGUGCCGUUCCCUUGUUAUCUGAAAUGGGGAAAAGAAAUAUCUUGGGAUCUGAUGAUCGACCUGGGAGUAGUGACAUGGUGCAGGCUCUUGCAUCUCCUUUAAGUAAUCGCACAGUUAUGCCCCAAACUGCAAAAUCAAGUGAUGGGCUUGGAUCAUCUGAUCCCGGAAGUGUUAUUGAUUCUGCAGUUGGGGGCAGCAGAGUUUUCAGUUCUCCUGUUGUUCCUGGUAUGCAAUGGCGGCCCGGAAAUUCCUUCCAAAACCAGAACGAACCAUUUCGUGGAAGAACUGAGAUUGCACCUGAUCAAAGGGAGAAGUAUAUACAACGAUUUCAGCAGGUACAGCUGCAUGGCCAGAAUAAUCUUCUGGGCAUGCCUUCUAUUUCUGGAGGAAAGCAGUACUCUGCACAACAGCAAAACAUUCUCUUACAACAGUUCAAUGCUCAAAGCUCAUCCAUCACACCUCAACUAGGGUUGGGGGUUGGGGUCCAGGCUUCAGGUAUUAACAGUGUAACAACAUCUGCUUCACUGCAGCCACAGCCUAGUGCAAUCCACCAACCUGCUAAUCAGCAGACAAUCAUAUCUUCAACACCUAAGGAUGCAGAAAAUGUCCUUAACAAAGUUGAGGAAAUGCAGCAGCAACAGUCCCUCACGGAAGAUUCUUCUGCAGAUUCUGCUGUCAACUCUGGGCUAGGAAAAACUCUUGUUGCAGAGGAUGAACUGAAAUCUCCUUACGCUUUAGAUGCUGCACAGGCUGCAGUUGCCUCUGGUUCUAUUGCUGAGCCUUCUCAAGUAAUACGGGAGAUAGAUCUAUCUCCAGGACAGCCUUUACAAUCAGCUUCAUCUUCUGGAAGUCUCGGUGUUAUUGGUCGAAGAAGUGUGUCUGACCUUGGUAUUAUUGGGGAUAACAUUAGUGCAUCAACUCCAAUUUCUGGGGGAAUGCAUGAUCAGUCGUAUAAUUUGCAGAUGCUUGAGGCUGCUUAUUAUAGACUUCCUCAGCCCAAGGAUUCAGAACGUGCUAAGACCUAUACUCCAAGACAUCCUGCUGCAACUCCUUCGAGCUAUCCUCAAGUACAAGCCCCUAUUGUUAAUAAUCCUGCCUUUUGGGAACGUCUUGGUGCAGAUACUUAUGGCACUGAUACCCUGUUCUUCUCAUUUUACUACCAGCAGAAUACCUAUCAGCAAUACUUGGCUGCUAGGGAACUAAAAAAACAAUCUUGGAGAUACCACAGGAAAUACAACACAUGGUUCCAACGGCAUGAGGAGCCAAAAGUUGCUACAGAUGAUUUUGAACAGGGGACAUAUGUGUAUUUUGACUUCCAUAUUGCCAGUGAUGAACAUGGAUGGUGUCAAAGAAUUAAGACGGAGUUCACUUUCGAGUACAGUUAUCUAGAGGAUGAUUUAAUAAUAUAGUCCCGGAUAUCAUUUCGUAUUAUCUUGACCACCAGAGAGUAGCUCUCCGUUGAUGUUUCGUUCAGUUGAAAUGUAAAAAUAGAAUAUGUGAUUCUGCAGUUAGAAUAUGUAUCUGGUGCCGAGCUGCGUGCAGAACACACAAAAGUUGGACUCUCUUGUCAUGAACUUGGGAGGCUGGAAAAGCAUCUUCCUAGUUCAUGUUCAACUGCUUGUAUGUGUCUAUUUUCACAUUUGGUUGAGUUGGUGGGGCAACAGGCAGAUUUUGAUUUUCAGCCGAGUUCGAGAUCCUUAUUACUACCUCCGUUCCAUUAUAAGCAACUUGUAUUUCUGUUUUUGUGAUGUUACCAUAUCCUUUUUUGGCAAAAUAUAUGUUAAUUACUCUUUUCUAUUAUUCCCUCCGUACCAUAAUAGAUGUCACAUUCCUAUUUUAAUU